rnacentral:rRNA from 1 species
GCUUACGGCCAUACCACCCUGAACACGCCCCAAUCUCGGAAGCUAAGCAGGGUCGGGCCUGGUUAAUACUUGGAUGGGAGACCUCUUGGGAAUACCAGGUGCUGUAAGCU